UGUUAUGACUAUGUGUAGCUGUCCAGC
rnacentral:piRNA from 1 species